GUGCCAGCCGCCGCGGUAAUACGUAGGUGGCAAGCGUUAUCCGGAAUUAUUGGGCGUAAAGCGCGCGUAGGCGGUUUUUUAAGUCUGAUGUGAAGGCCCACGGCUCAGCCGUGGAGGGUCAUUGGAAACUGGAAAACUUGAGUGCAGAAGAGGAAAGUGGAAUUCCAUGUGUAGCGGUGAAAUGCGCAGAGAUAUGGAGGAACACCAGUGGCGAAGGCGACUUUCNUGGUCUGUAACUGACGCUGAUGUGCGAAAGCGUGGGGAUCAAACAGGAUUA
rnacentral:rRNA from 1 species